rfam:Myotis davidii contig123389, whole genome shotgun sequence.
GUCCCUGAGUUGGGGGUUUCUGUAGGCACUUUAUUGCUCCACUUUCUAAAGCCUGGGCUGGGCCCAACUCUGAGGCUUCCUCAUCCUGUUUCUAUGACCAAGUUACAUCUAUGGCUUGAACCUCUACAAUGAAAAAACAAAUCCAU